UACGUAGGGGGCAAGCGUUGUCCGGAUUUAUUGGGCGUAAAGAGCUCGUAGGCGGUUUGUUGCGUCGGCUGUGAAAACCCGGGGCUCAACCCCGGGCCUGCAGCCGAUACGGGCAGACUAGAGUUCGGCAGGGGAGACUGGAAUUCCUGGUGUAGCGGUGAAAUGCGCAGAUAUCAGGAGGAACACCGGUGGCGAAGGCGGGUCUCUGGGCCGAUACUGACGCUGAGGAGCGAAAGCGUGGGGAGCGAACAGG
rnacentral:rRNA from 1 species